CUUGACCGGAGCUAAAACCAACAAAGGCAGAUUCUGGUGGGAGCUGCGGAAGCGCCGGGCACUGAGUCAACAAGCGGGUCUCAUUGAAAUGCAAAUGGCGCGGCCGGGCCAGGCGCGCCACCGCCCGCCCCUUAACUUCUCACCCCCGCGCCGCGCCGCUGAAUGGGCCAUUGACGCGCGCCUGCCCGGCCGUCCGCGGGAGCCCCAGUGCUUGCGAGCUUGUGUCGUCGUUGGCAUCCCUGUAAAUCAUCAUCACAUCAUCGUCAUCACCAUCACCUCCCUUCCAGACCUAAGGAGGUUUAAAGUUAACGCAUGCACCGUUAAAACUCCUACAGGACUUCAAAGGGGGAGUAUAGUGGAGUUGAUUAAAUGGUGGUAUGUAGACUUGGAGCUGCACUUGGCUAUCACCAUCAUCAGUGGGGCAGAGUCAGCCUGAGGCAAGAGAGAGAAUUAGAGCCAGAGAGAGUUCAUCGCAUGGUAUGAGCACCUGGAUUCAGCUGCAUCUGAAUCCAUCCCCUUUUCAGUUAUGUA
rnacentral:lncRNA from 1 species